rnacentral:rRNA from 1 species
AUUGAACGCUGGCGGCAGGCCUAACACAUGCAAGUCGAACGAGUGGCGGACGGGUGAGUAAUGUCUGGGAAACUGCCUGAUGGAGGGGGAUAACUACUGGAAACGGUAGCUAAUACCGCAUACCAUCGGAUGUGCCCAGAUGGGAUUAGCUAGUAGGUGGGGUAACGGCUCACCUAGGCGACGAUCCCUAGCUGGUCUGAGAGGAUGACCAGCCACACUGGAACUGAGGAACGGUCCAGACUCCUACGGUAGGCAGCAGUGGGGAAUAUUGGACAAUGGGCGCAAGCCAGAUGCAGCCAUGCCGGGUGUAGGAAGAAGGCCUUCGGGUUGUAAAGUACUUUCAGCGGGGAGGCGUUACCCGCAGAAGAAGCACCGGCUAACUCCGUGCCAACAUCCGCGGUUAUUC